UACAUGGGGUGCAAACGUUGCUCGGAAUUAUUGGGCGUAAAGCGCACGUAGGCGGUUCGUUAAGUCGGAUGUGAAAGCCCUUGGCUUAACCGAGGAAGUGCAUCCGAAACUGGCGAGCUAGAGUACGAAAGAGGAUCGCGGAAUUCCCGGUGUAGAGGUGAAAUUCGUAGAUAUCGGGAGGAACACCGGUGGCGAAGGCGGCGAUCUGGGUCGAUACUGACGCUGAGGUGCGAAAGCGUGGGGAGCAAACAGG
rnacentral:rRNA from 1 species